rnacentral:lncRNA from 1 species
AAUUUUUAGUUCUUAAAAUGUUUUAAAAUGCUGGAUGUGGUGGCAUAUUCCUUUAAUCCUAGUACUGGGGAGGCAGAGGCAAAUAGAGCUUGAGUUAGCCUGGUCUAUAUAACAAGCUCCAGGCUAGCUAGGGCUAUAUAGACCACAUUUCAGACAAAACAAACAGUUUAAAAGCUUUAAACAGUUUAAUACCUUUAAAACACAAUGUGGAGUUUUACCAGCGGCACCUUACUUACCUGUAGUGGAGUAGAAAUAGAAAGAGAGUGUGACCUUGUAUCAAAUGCUUUAGUUGCUUCCCUAAGAUUUAUUCUAACAUUCUUUAUCCCUUAGCUCUUUUCUGGAUCAUUUGCUUUCUUGCCAGUUGACUUUUAUAGGUCAGCACAAGUUCACUCUAGUUAAGGGCAGGCCCAGCUGUUGCCCCACUAUUUUUUAUAUGUUAUUUUCAUUAUCUUACAAAUUUGGAAUUCCAUGCUUGUAGAUCAUUCAGCCCAGUGAGGAUUUGACCUGCCUACAUUAACAGCUCUGAGAUUCAGGUCCUGGCUACCUUAUACCUGCUUUCCCAGAAAACCUCUUCUCUGAAAAAGUGACCUCACCUUGGAUUCUGGGAAUUUCUGUGACUUCAUAGUCUCAGAAUACUUCAUUUGAAAUAAUUCUCCCUUUAUUUAGGACUGGACUGAAAGUCAAUAGUAGAAAUGCCAUGAUGUGGGUAGAUAGAUGUAUAUUUGAAUAGUUUUUCUGAGUGGUGGCAUAAUUUGAUACUCCUAUUGGUAAUAUGGAAGUUAUUACUGUUGCUCAUUCUUACUAAAAUUUGAUGUCUUUUGUUUUCUUUUGGCUUUAUUUGUUAAUAUACAGCUAUCACAAGUAAAUUUAUCACAUUUAAAAUUAUCUUCAAUUUGAUUUAGCUCUCUCAAGUGGAAGUAGAGGCUGCCUAAAUAUCAGCAAUAAUAGAAUUUAGAAGAAUUUUUAUGUUUCAUUUUAGAAAUUUGUCUUAUCCUAUGGUUUUCUCUUUCACAUUUUAACUUAAAUCAUAACUUAUACUCAGAAACCUUUUAUUCUUGGAAAUUCCUUCACUGUUCCUACUUAGAUAGAAUAUUGGGAUAUAUUUACAUAGUGGAUCUAGAAUAUUAACAAAGUAACAAUUUACAAUGAGCAUUAAACAUGUAGUAAUUUUUAGAUCUUUUUGACUUAAUGUCCUUCAUUGAUCCUGUAAAAAGAUGAAAUUUUGUGUUGUAUCUCCUACAGUUGCAACAUAAUGUUAAAAAUUUCAAACCAAUUGCGAAGAGAAGUUCAUUUUAUAUUUGCAAC